AGAAAAAAAGGACUUUUACGGCAAUUUUAAAUUCGCUGCAAAUAAAAUUGCCACAAUAAGUAAUCUUUUGCAGCUAAAAUAAAAUCGUCAUGGCCUUUGUACAAUUUAAACGCGGUGGUGUCCAAACUUUUGUAUUUACAUCGAUUUAAUGCCUUUUAACGGCGAGAAAAAUCAACGGAAGUUGGAAAAAUUAGUCGCAACGGGAUAAAAUCGACGGGAUUGAGUCUGGGGUGCCGAAACACACUAAACAUUUGAUUCCACACCCCCGCGCGCGCGCAUGGUGAGCCUUACCCAGUCUUCGUCACAAUACCCCCUUCUCCACUUCGACCUUCUUCCCCAAUUCGGGUACCUGCAAUUAAAUCCUCCCACUUCAUACACACGGUUUCAUCUCCAUUAUCGACUACGUCCCAAAGCUUUUGCAUGGGCCAGGGACGUGGUUUCCUCCCCAUACAAAAUUUGUGCCUCCUUCAACAAAUCUCCGAGUGAUUUUUUGUGAGAUUUUCAAGUAUCGGAGGGCGAGCAUAAUCGACCGAUACUCUUGAAGUGAAAUCCUUCCGUUAACACAGACCUAUGCUAUUAUUUCAGCUCAACCAAUCAUGAGGUCUGAAAAAUGUCUACGACCAUAUCACCUUGCACUCCAUAUGUAUGGAUAUAUUACCCAUUAAGUAUACUUUUAUUACCUAUUGUACUGCUAUUAUCUCAUCAAGAGUGAUACAAUUGGUGAAGAACUUCUCGUUCUAUAUAUGCUUCAUUAAACCAAUUCUGAACUCAUAUAGAAAAAUUGUGGUAGAUUCAUCAACCUCUGGUUAGUGCAAAUCAGUUUGAGCAUGACUUCUAAAUGGCUUGUGUUUAAAGUAGUGAGCUUCAUAAAACUUGAUGAAGUCCAUCUUUUCUUCUGAUUUUUUUGUAACUGUUAUCUAUGGAAUAUGGAUAUCUUUAUGCCUUGAGCAUCAGUACAUUCACACCCGAAUCUCCUACGAUCAAGUAAGAAUUGGAAUAUGGAAAGCAGUAAUCAUGUUGCAGUGCAUGGAAGGAUUUAAGCAUUUAGGUGCUUCCCUACUAGGGGAUGACCUAAAUCAUAGCUUUGUUGUCUGAGUACGUCAUGGCUACAAUUGAGGCAAGUAAAAAACAUUUAAUUUUCAUUCUUUCUGGUGUGGUUGAAAACUAUUUGAUAGUAUGGAUAACAUUAAUUGAAUUGUACACUCGACAUGGCAUUUGGAGAAGCACCAAUAUACAUGGCAUUUGUUUACCAUGGUACUCAUUAUUAUUCCAUUAAUCUCUUUCAGGAUGCAUCAGAUUCUUGGGGUUUGUCUGUUAGCUUCCUCAGCAUAAUAUUGCUACCAAUUGUGGGAAAUGUAGCGGAACAUGCAGGAGCAAUCAUAUUUGCUUUCAAGAAC